rnacentral:rRNA from 1 species
UACGGGGGGGGGGUAAGCGUUGUUCGGAAUUACUGGGCGUAAAGGGCUCGUAGGCGGCCAACUAAGUCAGACGUGAAAUCCCUCAGCUUAACUGGGGAACUGCGUCUGAUACUGGAUGGCUUGGAUUCGGGAGAGGAAUGCGGAAUUCCAGGUGUAGCGGUGAAAUGCGUAGAGAUGUGGAGGAACACCAGUGGCGAAGGCGACUCUUUGGCCUGUAACUGACGCUGAGGCGCGAAAGCGUGGGGAGCAAACAGG